rnacentral:rRNA from 1 species
AUUGAACGCUGGCGGAAUGCUUUACACAGGCAAGUCGAACGGCAGCACGGACUUCGGUCUGGUGGCGAGUGGCGAACGGGUGAGUAAUGUAUCGGAACGGGCCCAGUCGUGGGGGAUAACGUAGUGAAAAUUACGCUAAUACCGCAUACGAUCUAUGGAUGAAAGCGGGGGACCGUAAGGCCUCGCGCGAUUGGAGCGGCCGAUGUCAGAUUAGGUAGUUGGUGGGGUAAAGGCUCACCAAGCCGACGAUCUGUAGCUGGUCUGAGAGGACGACCAGCCACACUGGGACUGAGACACGGCCCAGACUCCUACGGGAGGCAGCAGUGGGGAAUUUUGGACAAUGGGCGCAAGCCUGAUCCAGCAAUGCCGCGUGCAGGAAGAAGGCCUUCGGGUUGUAAACUGCUUUUGUACGGAACGAAAAGGCUCUGGUUAAUACCUGGGGCUCAUGACGGUACCGUAAGAAUAAGCACCGGCUAACUACGUGUCAGCCGCCGCAGUAA